rnacentral:piRNA from 9 species
UCUGGACUCUGAAUCCAGCGAUCCGAGU